AGGAUGAACGCUAGCGGCAGGCCUAAUACAUGCAAGUCGAACGGGUGUAGCAAUACACUAGUGGCGCACGGGUGCGUAACGCGUAACCAAUCUGCCCUGAACUGGGGGAUAGCCCGCCGAAAGGCGGAUUAAUACCGCAUAACACUUCUCUCUGGCAUCAGAGGUUAGUUAAAGAUUUAUUGGUUCAGGAUGAGGUUGCGUGCCAUUAGCUAGUUGGCGGGGUAAUAGCCCACCAAGGCGACGAUGGCUAGGGGACCUGAGAGGGUGAUCCCCCACACUGGCACUGAGAUACGGGCCAGACUCCUACGGGAGGCAGCAGUAGGGAAUAUUGGGCAAUGGACGAGAGUCUGACCCAGCCAUGCCGCGUGCCGGAUGAAGGCCUUCUGGGUUGUAAACGGCUUUUCUCAGGGAAGAAAAGCCAUGCGUGGUACACUGACGGUACCUGAGGAAUAGCACCGGCUAACUCCGUGCCAGCAGCCGCGGU
rnacentral:rRNA from 1 species